rnacentral:rRNA from 1 species
AAUAGGCUAAUUAAGAGCGUAAGGGGAAUGCCUUGGCUCUCAGAGGCGAUGAAGGACGUGAUAAGCUGCGAUAAGCUUUGGGGAGUGGCACAAACACUUUGAUCCGAAGAUUUCCGAAUGGGGCAACCCGGCAUAUUGAAGAUAUGUCACACUGUAAAGUGAGCAAACCUGGUGAACUGAAACAUCUAAGUAACCAGAGGAAUAGAAAACAAAAGUGAUUCCGCUAGUAGUGGCGAGCGAACGUGGAACAGCCCAAACCUAUGUUGUUACGGCAAUAUAGGGGUUGUAGGACCUCAACAUUUAAUGCUAAAAGAACUAGAAUUUACUGGAAAGUAAAA